UCAUGACCCUUUAUGACCUGGGCUACAAACGUGAUACAAUGGCUGAAACAAAGGGCAGCGAAGCAGUGAUGUGAAGCGAAACCCAAAAAGCAGUCUCAGUUCGGAUUGAAGUCUGCAACUCGACUUCAUGAAGUCGGAAUCGCUAGUAAUCGCGAAUCAGAACGUCGCGGUGAAUACGUUCUCGGGGUUU
rnacentral:rRNA from 1 species